UAGCUCAGAGGUAGAGCGCCCGGCUUUUAACCGUGUGGUCGUGGGUUCGAUCCCCAC
rnacentral:ncRNA from 13 species